UACAGAGGUGGCAAGCGUUGUUCUGAAUUACUGGGCGUAAAGGGCGCGUAGGCGGCUUGGUCAGUCCCGUGUGAAAUCCCUCGGCUCAACUGAGGAACUGCACGGGAAACUGCCUGGCUUGAGUUCGGGAGAGGGAAGCGGAAUUCCGGGUGUAGCGGUGAAAUGCGUAGAUAUUGGGAGGAACACCAGUGGCGAAGGCGGCUCACUGGACCGGAACUGACGCUGAGGCGCGAAAGCGUGGGGAGCAAACAGG
rnacentral:rRNA from 1 species